UACGUAGGGUGCAAGCGUUGUCCGGAAUUAUUGGGCGUAAAGAGCUCGUAGGCGGUUUGUCGCGUCUGGUGUGAAAAUCCAGGGCUUAACCCUGGACCUGCAUCGGGUACGGGCAGACUAGAGUGCGGUAGGGGAGAUCGGAAUUCCUGGUGUAGCAGUGAAAUGCGUAGAGAUCGGGAGGAACACCAGUGGCGAAGGCGGCUACCUGGACCAGCACUGACACUGAAGCACGAAAGCGUGGGGAGCAAACAGG
rnacentral:rRNA from 1 species